AGCGAACGCUGGCGGCAGACCUAACACAUGCAAGUCGAACGAACUCUUCGGAGUUAGUGGCGGACGGGUGAGUAACACGUGGGAACGUGCCCUUUGGUUCGGAAUAACUCAGUGUAACUUGUGCUAAUACCGAAUGUGCUCUUCCGGGGAAAGAUGUAUCGCCAUUAGAUCGGCCCGGGUCUGAUUAGCUGGUUGGGGAGGUAACGGCUCACCAAGGACACGAUGAGUAGCUGGUGUGAUAGGAUGACAAGCCACGAUUGCGCUGAGGCACGGACCAGAAUCCUACGGGAGGCAGCAGUGGGGAAUCUUGCGGAAUGAGCGAAAGCCUGACGAAGCCAUGCCGCGUGAAUGAUGAAGGUCUUAGGAUUGUAAAAUUCUUUCACCGGAGACGAUAAUGACGGUACCCGGAGAAGAAGCCCCGGCUAACUUCGUG
rnacentral:rRNA from 1 species